rnacentral:tRNA from 1 species
GGAAAGGUAGCUCAGUGGUUAAGAGCACUGGCUGUACUUCAGAGGACCCGGGUUCAAUUCCCAGCAUCCA